rnacentral:rRNA from 1 species
AUUGAACGCUGGCGGCAGGCCUAACACAUGCAAGUCGAACGGUAACAGGAAGCAGCUUGCUGCUUCGCUGACGAGUGGCGGACGGGUGAGUAAUGUCUGGGAAACUGCCUGAUGGAGGGGGAUGACUACUGGAAACGGUAGCUAAUACCGCAUAACGUCGCAAGACCAAAGAGGGGGACCUUAGGGCCUCUUGCCAUCGGAUGUGCCCAGAUGGGAUUAGCUAGUAGGUGGGGUAACGGCUCACCUAGGCGACGAUCCCUAGCUGGUCUGAGAGGAUGACCAGCCACACUGGAACUGAGACACGGUCCAGACUCCUACGGGAGGCAGCAGUGGGGAAUAUUGCACAAUGGGCGCAAGCCUGAUGCAGCCAUGCCGCGUGUAUGAAGAAGGCCUUCGGGUUGUAAAGUACUUUCAGCGGGGAGGAAGGGAGUAAAGUUAAUACCUUUGCUCAUUGACGUUACCCGCAGAAGAAGCACCGGCUAACUCCGUG